rnacentral:rRNA from 1 species
AGAUUGAACGCUGGCGGCAGGCCUAACACAUGCAAGUCGAGCGGCAGCACGGGUACUUGUACCUGGUGGCGAGCGGCGGACGGGUGAGUAAUGCCUAGGAAUCUGCCUGGUAGUGGGGGAUAACGCUCGGAAACGGACGCUAAUACCGCAUACGUCCUACGGGAGAAAGCAGGGGACCUUCGGGCCUUGCGCUAUCAGAUGAGCCUAGGUCGGAUUAGCUAGUUGGUGAGGUAAUGGCUCACCAAGGCGACGAUCCGUAACUGGUCUGAGAGGAUGAUCAGUCACACUGGAACUGAGACACGGUCCAGACUCCUAGGGAGCAGCAGGUGGGAAUAUUGGACAAGUGGGACGAAAGCCGUAGAUCCAGCAAUCGCCGCGUGAGUGAUGAACGGUCCGUUAGGUUAGUAAAGUCCGUUACCUUUUUAACCCGAAGUAUAGUAAUAAGUCGAA